rnacentral:rRNA from 1 species
UGCCGGCGAUGGUUCAUUCAAAUUUCUGCCCUAUCAACUUUCGAUGGUAGAGUAGUGGUCUACCAUGGUUUCAACGGGUAACGGGGAAUUAGGGUUCUAUUCCGGAGAGGGAGCCUGAGAAACGGCUACCACAUCCAAGGAAGGCAGCAGGCGCGCAAAUUACCCAAUCCCGACACGGGGAGGUAGUGACAAUAAAUACUGAUACAGGGCUCUUUUGGGUCUUGUAAUUGGAAUGAGUACAAUUUAAAUCCCUUAACGAGGAACAAUUGGAGGGCAAGUCUGGUGCCAGCAGCCGCGGUAAUUCCAGCUCCAAUAGCGUAUAUUAAAGUUGUUGCAGUUAAAAAGCUCGUAGUUGAACCUUGGGCCUGGCUGGCCGGUCCGCCUCACCGCGUGCACUGGUCCGGCCGGGCCUUUCCUUCUGGGGAGCCGCAUGCCCUUCACUGGGUGUGUCGGGGAACCAGGACUUUUACUUUGAAAAAAUUAGAGUGUUCAAAGCAGGCCUAUGCUCGAAUACAUUAGCAUGGAAUAAUAGAAUAGGACGUGUGGUUCUAUUUUGUUGGUUUCUAGGACCGCCGUAAUGAUUAAUAGGGAUAGUCGGGGGCAUCAGUAUUCAAUUGUCAGAGGUGAAAUUCUUGGAUUAUUGAAGACUAACUACUGGAAAGCAUUUGCCAGGAUGUUUUCAUUAAUCAGUGACGAAAGUUAGGGGAUCGAAGACGAUCAGAUACCGUCGUA